UACGAAGGGGGCUAGCGUUGUUCGGAAUUACUGGGCGUAAAGGGCGCGUAGGCGGUGUGUCAAGUCAGGCGUGAAAGCCCCCGGGCUCAACCCGGGAACUGCGUCCGAUACUGGCGGGCUUGAAUCCGGGAGAAGGAUGCGGAAUUCCAGGUGUAGCGGUGAAAUGCGUAGAUAUCUGGAGGAACACCGGUGGCGAAGGCGGCAUCCUGGACCGGCAUUGACGCUGAGGCGCGAAAGCCAGGGGAGCAAACGGG
rnacentral:rRNA from 1 species